UAGGGAAUCUUCGGCAAUGGGGGGAACCCUGACCGAGCAACGCCGCGUGAGUGAAGAAGGUUUUCGGAUCGUAAAGCUCUGUUGUUAAGGAAGAACGAGUGUGAGAAUGGAAAGUUCAUACUGUGACGGUAGUUAACCAGAAAGGGACGGCUAACUACGUGCCAGCAGCCGCGGUAAUACGUAGGUCCCGAGCGUUGUCCGGAUUUAUUGGGCGUAAAGCGAGCGCAGGCGGUUAGAUAAGUCUGAAGUUAAAGGCAGUGGCUCAAUCAUUGUAGGCUUUAGAAACUGUUUAACUUGAGUGCAGAAGGGGGGAGUGGAAUUCCAUGUGUAGCGGUGAAAUGCGUAGAUAUAUGGAGGAACACCGGUGGCGAAAGCGGCUCUCUGGUCUGUAACUGACGCUGAGGCUCGAAAGCGUGGGGAGCGAACAGG
rnacentral:rRNA from 1 species